GCUGGAAUCGCUAGUAAUCGCAGAUCAGAAUGCUGCGGUGAAUACGUUCCCGGGUCUUGUACACACCGCCCGUCACACCAUGGGAGUUGGGAAUGCCCGAAGUCAGUGACCCAACCGCAAGGAGGGAGCUGCCGAAGGCAGGCUUGAUAACUGGGGUGAAGUCGUAACAAGGUAUC
rnacentral:rRNA from 1 species